GUGUUGGAUCUUCUAACUCUUGACUGCACAAAGAUUGAGGAUAUUGUAAGAUUCAGAAGUCAUAUUUUGAAAUGCAUUCAAUCAGAAAGCGCUUUCUUGUGUUCUGAGACCAUCUUACCACAAAGUUACGAAGAAGUGGAACAAGCCAUCCACACACUUGUUACACUAGAACAGAUUCCUCAACAUGGUAUUAUUCUACUUGAAGAACUUGGUGAUUUAAUAAUGAACCAUGUAACACAGAGCAGAGAGCACCUCCACUCCAUAUUGCAAUUCCUCUUGCGAUAUCUGCACAGAAUUGGGGUUAUUAUUUGGUAUGAAGAUAUUGAUGUGCUAAGUGACCGAGUGUUUAUCCAGCCUUCAUUCCUCAUUUCUAUGUUCAAGACCAUUGUGAGACAUGACCUGGUGCAGCAGCUUGAGGGAAUCUCAAGAGACCUACUCAUGCAAGAAGGAGCUCUAAUGAAACAAAAGUUCAUCUGGGUGGAGGACUUGCGGUCCAGAGGCACCCUGCACAAUGCAGCCCUCCGCAUUUUAGUCCGGAGGGAGUUAGAGAAACUGGUCAUAGAUGAUGAUGACUUGGUCAGAGAGGUAGUAGGAAACAAAAGGGAGGAAGGCAUCAUUCUCACCCUGUUGCAGCACUUUGAGGUUUGCCUCCCAACUCUUGUCAGAAGCCCCAUGAACCCCCAAGCACCAGAGUUCAUUCCAGGAGAAAAGCACUGGGAAUCAGGCAGGGAGUCGAAGAGAGACCCUGAUGGAGCUUGCCUCUUCCCCAUUUAUCUGAAGGAUGACCUCAUAGUAUGUCAGAAAUGGGGUGAGAACAAACAGGAUGAUCUCAGAGUGCACGUGUACAUCCUUCCUGAGGUUCCACAUGGCUUCUUUCACAGACUGAUCAUUAAGACGUGUUCUCUUUACUCGACUCACUGGGUGGGAAAGGAGCAGUGUCUCCUCUGCUGUGGAAACAGACUUGCUCUGUUUAGACAGGGGGACAAUGAUGGAGAUUCGUUUAUAGAGAUACGCUGCCGAAGACCUGAAAAGUAUGAAGAGUUUCGGCAGAUGUGGGAUCUGAUCUUGGCAGUGAUGUCCAAGCUGUUUGGGCUGUCAAGGCAGUGGCCGGGACUGACCCAGCAGGUGCACACACCCUGUCCAGAGAGAGGCUGUCUGCAUUAUUUUACCUGGAGGGACUGGCAGGAAUUGAACAACACCAACCUUUACAGUCUUGUGAAGGAGGAAAAAUUAGUUUGCCAGGGAGGCCAUACACGACGAACAGAACUGAUUUUUCCAAAAGCUGCCACUUUGCAGUGAUGACUAUGAAAAUGACGUCAAAGAAGACAAACACAGCAUCACAACCUCUUCAGCAAUUUUAAAGUGGCAAAAUGUUUUUUGUGCUAGUCAAUUUUAUCUCCUUUUUUAGGUGACUGAUAUGAGUAUUAUUUGGAAACUAUUUUGUGGCAAGUGUCACUCUGAGUAUGAGGUUCAGGGCUGAGGCUGAUUUUGUAACAGCUGUUUUGCAAUAGAUGUAUUACAAAAUACUCCAGAAGACUACUUGCAUUUCUGUUUUUAAUAUGCAGCGUUUCGGUGUUUAUGUGUACAAUGGCAGCCUCUGCUGGCCCUUGACGACUGUCGUCUAUGUUUGUCUUUGUGAAGACAAGUUGUACACCUUACAGUGUUACAUGACAAAUUACAACUGCUGCAUGUAAAAUAUUUAAGCUGAUCUUUAAUAAUAUGAUAGUCCAAAUCAAUCCGGUCCUGUAAAAACUCCUGAUAUCUGCUUGCCACCCCUGUAUUUCUCUAGUUUUUCAUCAGGUUCUCAAAACUCACUUCUAGUGCUGGCUAAUGCUGCUGCCUUCAGGGUUUACUCGUAAAUGUCUUGAAGAAGGUUUUAUUGUUUAAUCCUUGUAGUCAAAAGAAAUUACAUGUUAUUAU
ensembl:lncRNA